UGAAUACCAAUUUGUAAGUCGCUCUGGAUAAGAGCGUCUGCUAAAUGACUUAAA
rfam:Salmo salar isolate Sally breed double haploid chromosome ssa21, whole genome shotgun sequence.